AGGAACCUGUCCUGUAAUUGAUAAUCCACGAGUUAAUUUACUUAUGUUAAAAAGUUUGCAUAUCGCUGUAAGUUGAAUAUUUUAUAAGAAAUUUAAAUGUUCAAAAUGUUAAAUUGAGAUGUAAAUCAAGUCAAGGUGUAGCUUAAUAAAUAAGAAGUGAUGGGUUACAAUAAAUUUAUUUAAACGAAUUUAUAAAUGAAAUUUUAUGAUAAAGGUGGAUUUGAGGGUAAUUUUAAUUAAAUUAUUAGGAUGAUUUUAGCUCUAAAAUAUGUACAUAUCGCCCGUCGCUUCCAUUUUAAGAUGGAAUAAGUCGUAACAAAGUAGGUGUACUGGAAAGUGUACCUAGAAAGCAAAUUAAAGCUUUAAAAGCCUUUUAUUUACAUUAAAAAGAUUAUUGUGAGAUUCAGUAUAGUUUGAAUUUAAAAAAUUAUUGAUUAAAUAAAUAUUUUAGUUUAUAUUAAAUUUUUAUAAAUUUAUAAUAGUUUAAUUAGAAUUUAGGAAUAAAUUUUUUUUAUUAUAGUUAAUUAGUAUUGUGAAAGAAUUUAAUUAAAAUUUUUUUAAGAAAAGUUAAUUUUUUGUACCUUGUGUUUCAGGGUUUAUUAAAUAUAUAAAUUAUAAAAUUUAUUCUCGAAUUAAAAAGAGCUAAUUUAUUAUAUUUUUUAUUGUUAAAUAAAUAUUAUAAAUAUUAAGUUAGAUGUGAAAUGCUAUUCGAUUUUUAAGAUAUCUAGUUAUUUAAGAAAUAAAUUUAAUUUAAUUAUUAAUGAAUAAUAAUUUAAUUUUUUAAAUUAUUAUUUUUAAUAAUAAAUAAUAUUAGGGAUGAGCUUAGUAUUAAAAAAUUAUAAUUAGAAGAUGGGGAAUGAAUAAUAUAAUAUAAAUAGGAUUGAAGGUUUACAUUUUUAGAAGUGUGUUAUAACUUGUUUUAUAAUAGAUAAAAUUUAUAUUUAUAAUUUAAUUUUUUUAUUAAAUUUUAAAUUGAAAUUUUAUAAAUUUAAAGAUAAUGGUAAAAUUAGUAAAUUAUUUAAUUGUUAAAUUUAUUUAAAUAUUUAAGGUAAAAUAAAGGAAUUCGGCAAAUAAGUUUUCACCUGUUUAAUAAAAACAUGGCUUUUUGAUUAUGAUUUAAAGUCUGACCUGCUCUAUGAAUAUUUUAAAUGGCUGCGGUAUAUUGACCGUACAAAGGUAGCAUAAUAAUUAGUUUCUUAAUUAGAAGCUGGAAUGAAAGGUUGAAUGAGGGACUAACUGUCUCUAUUUUAAUUAAAUUGAAUUUUAUUUUUAAGUAAAAAAGCUUAAAUUAAAUUUAAAGACGAGAAGACCCUAUAGAAUUUUAUAAUUUAAAAUUAAGUUAUAU
rnacentral:rRNA from 1 species